rnacentral:rRNA from 1 species
GAUGAACGCUGGCGGCGUGCCUAAUACAUGCAAGUCGAGCGAACGGACGAGAAGCUUGCUCCCCUGAUGUUAGCGGCGGACGGGUGAGUAACACGUGGAUAACCUACCUAUAAGACUGGGAUAACUUCGGGAAACCGUAGCUAAUACCGGAUAAUAUUUUGAACCGCAUGGUUCAAAAGUGAAAGACGGUCUUGCUUUCACUUAUAGAUGAAUCCGCCCUGCAUUAGCUAGUUGGUAAGGUAACGGCUUACCAAGGCAACGAUGCAUAGCCGACCUGAGCGGGUCAUCGGACACACUGGAAGUGAGACAGGGUCCAGACUCCUACGGGAGGAAACAGUAGGGAAUCUUCCGCGAGGGGCGAAAGCCUGACGGAGCAACGCCGCGUGAGUGAUGAAGGUCUUCGGAUCGUAGAGCUCUGUUAGUAGGGAAGAACAAAUGUGUAAGUAACUGUGCACAUCUUGACGGUACCUAAUCAGAAAGCCACGGCUAACUACGUG